UACGUAGGGUGCGAGCGUUGUCCGGAAUUAUUGGGCGUAAAGAGCUCGUAGGCGGUUUGUCGCGUCGACUGUGAAAACCUACAGCUUAACUGUGGGCUUGCAGUCGAUACGGGCAGACUUGAGUUCGGUAGGGGAGACUGGAAUUCCCGGUGUAGCGGUGAAAUGCGCAGAUAUCGGGAGGAACACCAGUAGCGAAGGCGGCACUCUGGGCCGUGACUGACGCUGAGGAGCGAAAGCGUGGGUAGCAAACAGG
rnacentral:rRNA from 1 species